UUAGAUGACGACCACCGGGGCCUCCUAGA
rnacentral:piRNA from 1 species